rnacentral:rRNA from 1 species
UACGUAGGGGGCAAGCGUUGUCCGGAAUCAUUGGGCGUAAAGAGCGUGUAGGCGGCCCGGUAAGUCCGCUGUGAAAGUCGGGGGCUCAACCCUCGAAUGCCGGUGGAUACUGUCGGGCUAGAGUGCGGAAGAGGCGAGUGGAAUUUCUGGUGUAGCGGUGAAAUGCGCAGAUAUCAGGAGGAACACCGAUUGCGAAGGCAGCUCGCUGGGACGUUACUGACGCUGAGACGCGAAAGCGUGGGGAGCAAACAGG